AAUGUAAAAAGCGAAGUAUUGCAUACGGUUUCGGCCCGUAAGUUGGGGACCAUAAUCCUCUUUACAUUU
rnacentral:tRNA from 1 species